rnacentral:ncRNA from 1 species
CAAAGGCUUGGUCCUGACUUUACUAUCAGCUUCGGCCUAAUUUAUACAUGCAAGUAUCCGCACCCCCGUGAGAAUGCCCUCAAUCCCCUGCCCGGGGACGAGGAGCUGGCAUCAGGCACACCCCAUUCUGCCCAAGACGCCUUGCUAAGCCACACCCCCAAGGGAAUUCAGCAGAAAUAGACAUUAAGCCAUGAGUGCAAACUCGACUUAGUCAAGGUCUUAAGGGUCGGUAAAAUUCGUGCCAGCCACCGCGGUUAUACGAAAGACCCUAGUUGAUAGCUACGGCAUAAAGGGUGGUUAAGGGUUUAAAAAAUAAAGCCAAAGAUCUUCUAGGCUGUCAUACGCUCUCCGAAAGAACGAGGCCCAAACACGAAAGUAGCUUUAAAUAAAUAACCUGACACCACGAAAGCCAAGAAACAAACUGGGAUUAGAUACCCCACUAUGCUUGGCCAUAAACCUAGAUGCUCCAUUAUAUAAGCAUCCGCCUGGGGACUACGAGCACAGCUUAAAACCCAAAGGACUUGGCGGUGUCUCAGACCCACCUAGAGGAGCCUGUUCUAGAACCGAUAACCCCCGUUGAACCUCACCACUCCUUGCUUUCCCCGCCUAUAUACCGCCGUCGUCAGCUUACCCCAUGAGGGUACAACAGUAAGCAAAAUGGGCACACCCAAAAACGUCAGGUCGAGGUGUAGCGUACGAAGUGGGAAGAAAUGGGCUACAUUUUCUACAAAGAAUAAUACGAAUAACACUAUGAAACGAGUGUUUGAAGGUGGAUUUAGUAGUAAAAAGCAAACAGAGCGUGCUUUUGAAUUUAGGCUCUGAGACGCGCACACACCGCCCGUCACUCUCCCCCACAUCACUAUAACCUAACAUUUUUAAUAACACAACCAACAUGCACGGGGAGGCAAGUCGUAAUCAUGGUAGUAUACCGGAAGGUGUACUUGGAAUAA